rnacentral:rRNA from 1 species
UACGUAGGGGGCUAGCGUUGUCCGGAAUCAUUGGGCGUAAAGAGCGUGUAGGCGGUCCGCUAAGUCCGCUGUGAAAGUCGGGGGCUCAACCUUCGAAUGCCGGUGGAUACUGUCGGGCUAGAGUGCGGAAGAGGCGAGUGGAAUUCCUGGUGUAGCGGUGAAAUGCGCAGAUAUCAGGAGGAACACCUAUUGCGAAGGCAGCUCGCUGGGACGUUACUGACGCUGAGACGCGAAAGCGUGGGGAGCAAACAGG